rnacentral:rRNA from 1 species
UACAGAGGUCUCAAGCGUUGUUCGGAUUCAUUGGGCGUAAAGGGUGCGUAGGCGGCGCGGUAAGUCGGGUGUGAAAUCUCGGGCUUAACUCCGAAACUGCAUUCGAUACUGCCGUGCUUGAGGACUGGAGAGGAGACUGGAAUUUACGGUGUAGCGUGAAAUGCGUAGAUAUCGUAAGGAAGACCAGUGGCGAAGGCGGGUCUCUGGACAGUUCCUGACGCUGAGGCACGAAGGCCAGGGGAGCAAACGGG